rnacentral:rRNA from 1 species
AAUGAACGCUGGCGGCAGGCCUAAAACAUGCAAGUCGAACGCCCUAGCAAUAGGGAGUGGCGCACGGGUGAGUAACAUGUGGGAAUAUGCCUUUUGGUACGGAACAACGUUUGGAAACGAACGCUAAUACCGUAUGGUCCCUCCGGGGUAAAGAUUUAUCGCCAAAAGAUUAGCCCGCACUAGAUUAGCUAGUUGGUAAGGUAAUGGCUUACCAAGGCGACGAUCUAUAGCUGUUCUGAGAGGAAGAUCAGCCACACUGGGACUGAGACACGGUCCAGACUCCUACGGGAGGCAGCAGUGGGGAAUAUUGGACAAUGGGCGCGAGCCUGAUCCAGCCAUGCCGCGUGUGUGAAGAAGGCCUUCGGGUUGUAAAGCACUUUCAGCGAGGAGGAAGGGGUGUGUGUUAAUAGUACACACCUUUGACGUUACUCGCAGAAGAAGCACCGGCUAACUCUGUGCCAGCCGCCGCCGUAACAC